GGAUGGGUGGCCGAGCGGUUGAAGGCACCGGUCUUGAAAACCGGCAAGGGUGAAUAGCUCUUCGUGGGUUCGAAUCCCACCCCAUCCGCCA
rnacentral:tRNA from 1 species